AAGGAUCAUUAAAGAGUUCAAGCCCCAUAUAGGUAGAUCUCCCCUCCUUGAAUAUGUUACUUUGUUGCUUUGGUGGGGCGUACUUUUAUACCACUGGUACUUGCUAGUGAGUACCCGCUGGAGAAUUCUAAAUUCUGAAUUAUUUAUUGUUGUCUGAGAGCUAUAUAAUUGUUAAAACUUUCAACAACGGAUCUCUUGGUUCUG
rnacentral:misc_RNA from 1 species